UACGUAGGGUGCGAGCGUUGUCCGGAAUUACUGGGCGUAAAGAGCUCGUAGGUGGUUUGUCGCGUUGUCCGUGAAAACUCACAACUCAAUUGUGGGCGUGCGGGCGAUACGGGCAGACUGGAGUACUGCAGGGGAGACUGGAAUUCCUGGUGUAGCGGUGGAAUGCGCAGAUAUCAGGAGGAACACCGGUGGCGAAGGCGGAUCUCUGGGCCUUACCUGACGCUCAGGCGCGAAAGCUAGGGGAGCGAACAGG
rnacentral:rRNA from 1 species